rnacentral:misc_RNA from 1 species
GACAAGCAUAUGACUACUGGCAGGAUCAACCAGGUAGCACGUCCUCUUAGACUUCCAACACCGGUAGUCACCCACCCACCACCACUUGUGUGGCAAUGCGGAGGCAACAAUCGGGCCGGUUGUCGCUGUUGAGCGGGCCGAGCUCGUCCGUCUUAUUUGGGGAUCGGAAUCGAGUAUGCUGCGUAAUCCUUGCCACUUGCUGUGGAAAGGUAGAGGCAACAUUCGUUCAACGAUGUUCUCAAAGUCGGAGAGCAUUCUUAGGGUCUUGCUCGUCCGACUUAUUUGGGGAUCGGACUCGAGUCUGCUGCAUAAUCCUUCCACUUGUUGUGGAAAGGUAGAGGCAACAUUCGUUCAACGAUGUUCUCAAAGUCGGAGAGCGUUCUUAGGGUCAAGCCCCGAGGCAACCAAAUGGGCCACGAGGAUAUAUAUCAUGAGCGACAUCCAAAACCAUUAACGAGAGCGAGGCUGCCUUGAUAGCACCAGGCACGAGAACCAGCACCACGAGGCAACGCCACAAUCGCCAUAUGGCCGCAGCAACACACCCAAAGGCGUCCACCACGAGGCAACUAUGUAUGAAGCACCAAUACCCAUAGGUCAGGUAACAUCACGCAAGCACUUG